GAAAUGCGAUAAGUAAUGUGAAUUGCAGAAUUCAGUGAAUCAUCGAAUCUUUGAACGCAUAUUGCGCUCUUUGGUAUUCCAGAGAGCAUGCCUGUUUGAGUAUUGGUACUAUGGGUGAACUUCCUUUGAAUUUUCAAAGUAAAAUCAUUUAAAACCCUAUUGAGACGUCUUGGCAAUCUUUUUUGACAAGUGUCUUAAAAUUCAAUUGAAUUUUCCAUGUUCCAGUGGAAGACGACUAGUUUAUGGAGUAAUAUGGUAAGGGUUGCCCCUGACCUGAAAAAGUGCUGUAAAAAGUUCUUUUUCUUACUUUUUUACUAGUUUCCUUUAUGCUGGAACAUGAUCUUUGAAUGCCCUUGAAGAAGACAUUCAAAAGUUUUAAGCUCAAUCUCAAAUCAGGUAG
rnacentral:misc_RNA from 1 species